AAUGACUUUGCAAACGCUGACUAUUUUUGAAUUACCAGUCCAUGGUUAGCCGCUAUUAUCUAAAAGAACAUAAGCUCACAUCACUUACAUGAUCAUAAACGAGAAUAACUCAAUUACACAAAAUUUCAACCAAUUCGAGAAAAUGAAUUGAUGAGCGAAAUUAAUAUAAGUCUGUUUUCUUAUACAAGAACCAUCAGUUUUGCAGGAAAGUAGUCUUCAAAUUCUAAUCAAAAAGCUAAUCUAACUGAAUCAACAUACACAUGAAUAUUUUCAUAUUACGUCUUCGAACUUCCAAAUCUAAUGAAGGGCUAAACAGAACAUGGAGACUGGAGAUGGAUACUAUUUCAACUUCAUUUUUAACCUGAAAAUCUCAAUUGCGAACUUUACUUGAGCUGGACAAAUAAUAAUAUCUUAACAGAUUUUCAUAUGAAUUCAUUAUAUGGUACUAGCAACUUAAUCAUGAUCAACACAACAUAAACAACCAAUAUUCAGAUUCAUAUUAACUCUGCAUACUAGGUAGAGUAUCCCAGAUCUGGUAGCUAAGCAUGAAUACUAACAAUUCUGUCACUUCAAAGAAAUGAUAAGUACAGAGGCAUUUUGAGACUCACAUAAUUCAGCAAAUAACAGACACUGAAAUGCCAAAUUAAGGCAGAGUGAAGACGAGAAGAGUUCAACAAUGCAUAAUAAGCAUCACAACUUCAAUUUAGGUCCAAAAUCGACUCAAAGCAGCCAGAAAUUGUUGAAACAAAGCAGCAGAAAUCAGUCCAUCCUUUGAAAUUCCCUUUUCUACACUUUCCCCCUUUUUUUAUAUUUUUGUUAUCCUAAAUCUCAUAUCUCAGUUAAGAUUCUUUUGAAUUUUUAAAGCUUUUACUCACAGCUUUGAAUAUGAAGAGCUUUCAAGUCUGUAAAGUGUGUGAGUGAAUGAGAGGAGUGAGAAUUUUUGUGUGAGUGAGAUUAGAGUGAAUGUGUGAGUAAGAACGAAAGAGCAGUCUCUCAAUGUGUAUUCUCUUAUAUAGAAAAUGCAGAGAAUCUUUUGAGUUAUUUUUCUUUCUCUUACAUCCCUCAUCUUUUGUUAUUUUCCCGCUUACCCCUGUCCUCUUCACUCUUUUAUUUGCUAAAACAUGUCCUUUUUUAAUUAUUCCUUUUCCGCCGACCCUUCUGCCCCUUUGUUCCUAAAAUCAAAUCCAACGAGCCUACCUAUCAACAAGGCAAGCCCAAAUUUCAUAAUACCCUAUAAUCAAUAAAACAUUAUCAAUCAAUUUCAAACUCCAAUUAAACAAUAGUUAUUACAACGAUUAAAACAAAUUGGAAUAUGCAAUUACGUAAUUUGGCUAAUGAUCAAUGUAAUCAAACAGUUCCUCUUUACUUUUCAAACUAUGCCAACUAAUAAUUAAACUAACACAUUAACACCUAAAACCACGACAUAUAAACAUAUGUGAAUAACAAUAAUGAAGAAAAGAAAUUAAGGAAAAGAAACUUACAGGGCCGAUAAGACCCAAAAGCAGAGGACAUGAUUCGAAACAUCGGCAUUUCAAUGUUGAACAGUAACGAUCUUUGUCCAAUGAACACUUAUCUGGACCCUUGAUGUCUGAUAAGUAUUUCAUUGGACAAAACCCGUUGAGGUUCAACGGCAUUUGACAGAUAUGAAAGAUUCUGGCGGCCUAGAAAUGGAUCGAAUACUAACACCAAAUUGGAAUACAUAGCGAGGAGGGUUAAUUGGUGCAGGUUUCGACCUCGAGCAGGCUGAGAUUUAGGAGAAAACAAGAAGGGGGUGAAUUAGGUUUUUGGUUUGGUUCUUAGAUCUAAAAAUCGUAAAACUGUGAGGGCCUUAAGAAAAAUCGGAUGGUAGAUUAAGAGAGAGGGAGAGAUGGAGAUCACGUGGUGAAAAUUUUGGGAUGUUUGGAAGUCGGCCGCCGCCGUGGACGAUUUCCGGCGGCGGUGUUGGAUAGAGAAAUAGUGGUG
rnacentral:lncRNA from 1 species